GCUUACGGCCAUACCACCUUAGGCACGCCCGAUCUCGUCUGAUCUCGGAAGCUAAGCAGGGUCGGGCCUGGUUAGUACUUGGAUGGGUGACCGCCUGGGAAUACCAUGGUGCUGUAAGUA
rnacentral:rRNA from 1 species